GGGCCCGCACAAGCGGUGGAGUAUGUGGUUUAAUUCGAAGAUACGCGCAGAACCUUACCAACACUUGACAUGUUCGUCGCGACUCUAAGAGAUUAGAGUUUUCGGUUCGGCCGGACGAAACACAGGUGCUGCAUGGCUGUCGUCAGCUCGUGUCGUGAGAUGUUGGGUUAAGUCCCGCAACGAGCGCAACCCUCACUUUUAGUUGCCAGCGGGUAAUGCCGGGGACUCUGGAAAGACAAAACCUCUUGUUGAGGUGGGAAGGUGGGGACCGACGUCAAGUCAGUAUGGCCCUUACGACCAGGGCUGCACACGUACUACAAUGCUACGGACAAAGGGCAGCAAGUUCGCGAGGAC
rnacentral:rRNA from 1 species